rnacentral:rRNA from 1 species
UCGCCUGUUUAUCAAAAACAUGUCCUCUUGAAUAAAAAUUGGAGGUCUGACCUGCCCACUGAGAAGAUCUUGAAGGGCCGCGGUAUUUUGACCGUGCAAAGGUAGCAUAAUCAUUAGUCUUUUAAUUGAAGGCUAGAAUGAAUGGUUGGACGAGGCAUUGACUGUCUCAAUAUAAAUGAAAUUAGAAUUUACCUUUUGAGUGAAAAGGCUUAACUAUGUUUAAAGGACGAGAAGACCCUAUAGAGCUUUAUAAUUAAUUUCAUGUAAUUUAUUUAGUAGUGGUUUUAUUACAUUUAAGUAAUUAUUAUGUUGGGGUGACAGGAAGAUAUAAUAAACUCUUUCUAUUGAUAAGACAUUUAUGUAUGAGUUAUUGAUCCAUUAUUAGUGAUUAUAAGUCUAAGUUACCUUAGGGAUAACAGCGUAAUCUUCUUUGAGAGUUCUUAUCGACAAGAAGGGUUGCGACCUCGAUGUUGGAUUAAGGGUAAUUUUGGGUGUAGAUGUUCAAAAUUUAGGUCUGUUCGACCUUUAAAUCCUUACAUGAUCUGAGUUCAAACCGGAGA